CAGUCGCCGCGGUAAGACGGAGGGUGCUAGCGUUGUUCGGAAUCACUGGGCGUAAAGGGCGCGUAGGCGGCCUGUUAAGUCGGAUGUGAAAGCCCGGGGCUCAACCCCGGAACUGCAUCCGAGACUGGCAGGCUUGAGACCGGGAGAGGAGGGUGGAAUAUCCAGUGUAGAGGUGAAAUUCGUAGAUAUUGGAUGGAACACCGGUGGCGAAAGCGGCUCUCUGGCCCGGAUCUGACGCUGAGGCGCGAAAGCGUGGGGAGCAAACAGGAUUAGAUACCCGCGUAGUCCCUGUCUCUUAUAC
rnacentral:rRNA from 1 species